GACGAACGCUGGCGGCGUGCUUAACACAUGCAAGUCGAACGGAAAGGCCCUGCUUUUGUGGGGUGCUCGAGUGGCGAACGGGUGAGUAACACGUGAGUAACCUGCCCUUGACUUUGGGAUAACUUCAGGAAACUGGGGCUAAUACCGGAUAGGAGCUCCUGCUGCAUGGUGGGGGUUGGAAAGUUUCGGCGGUUGGGGAUGGACUCGCGGCUUAUCAGCUUGUUGGUGGGGUAGUGGCUUACCAAGGCUUUGACGGGUAGCCGGCCUGAGAGGGUGACCGGCCACAUUGGGACUGAGAUACGGCCCAGACGCCUACGGGAGGCAGCAGUGGGGAAUAUUGCGCAAUGGGCGGAAGCCUGAUGCAGCAACGCCGCGUGCGUGAUGACGGCCUUCGGGUUGUAAACCGCUUUCGCCUGUGACGAAGCGUGAGUGACGGUAAUGGGUAAAGAAGCCCCGGCUAACUACGUG
rnacentral:rRNA from 1 species